UGUACCCUAGAUACGGGAGCGACAAAUGGGCAUGGCACGCAGCUGUCAUCGACGCAAACCAGUUCUUAAUGUUGAAGUUCGCAACUCCCGUCUACGUAACAAAAGUCGACGUCUACGAGACUUUCAAUGCUGGCGGUGUCAAGGAAAUUGGGUGCUUCGAUUUCCAAGAAGAAAUGUGGCCCAACGGAACAAUGGUCGUUAACAGGAGGUGGAUUUAGCUAUGGUCGACGCCCCAAGUAUCCGUUAUUAGGUCUGCGAGGAUAUUUAGUCCAUCGUUUGAGUCUACAAUUCGUUGUUUCUCGGACACCAUUCUGCUGGUUAUCGACUGCACCGCUGCAAACACCCCGGUGGAGAUAGACGCUGUGAGGCUGAAAGGCUACCAGAAGUCGUGGAGUCGUCUUGCAAAACGUGACUAUGUGAAUGAAGUGCUAGAAGAUAAGGAGGACAAGGCCGUUACAGCCGUUGAGUCCGCAGCAGCAAAGAUGAGCAUCAAGCAGCUACUCGCGCACGUUAGGAAAUAGACUGGAAAUCCGACUACGCUACCCCUACGACGACAACGGCAACUUGAAAAGUGAAGUUUUGAAAAAGAACAUGCUUAUGAUAUAAUCCAUCUUCAACAAACAUCUUGUACACAAGCUUUGUGUCUGGUGUUGUGUUAAUGCCCCCGGUAGGGUGGCAUUAAGCAGUUGAACUGUCCGUCAGUUCGUCUAUCAGUCUGUCAGUCUGUGCGUCCGUCCGAAAACUUUAACAUUGGCCAUAACUUUUGCAAUAAUGAAGAUAACAACUUGGUUUUUGGCAUGCAUGUGUAUUUUAUGAAGCUGCACAUUGUGAGUGGUUAAAGGUUAAGGUCAAGAUCAACCUUCGAGGUCAAAAGUAAAAAAUACAAUGCAAGGGAAGUAAUAAGCUUUAAAAGGGGAAUAAUUUCUCAACCUGCCCUAUGAUAUAUUGAAUUUUUAUUUAAAAGCGGCGCAAUCGAUUCUCACCAAGGCGACCCGGGUUUGAUCCCCGUUCCCGGCGCAUGUGAAUUUGGUUGGUGGUCAUCAUACCGGACAGGUGGGGUUUCCUCCGGGUAAUCCGGUUUCCCCCCACAUCACAAGACAACCUCAAAAUUAAAAAUAUUUCAGUAAACAAUAAAUAGCUAGAAAUUGCAGCUAUCAUUCAAAAUUCGUCCCAACUUUCGGGAGUCUAACAUCCGAUUAGGAAGGAGUGCUGGGACACACUCCGGGUCCUCACCUAAUGCAGCCUCUGGCGCGGAGGGACCUCAUUAACAUUGAAAUACACACACAGGGGCAUUGGUUUCUGACAGACACAUCUAUUGUUUAUAAAUAAAAUUGCAUUUGUAUACAUGUCUGUGUUCUAUUAUUUACCUUUUAAAUGUUUGAGAUAUAUUGGCGAACGUUUGAGAAAGUUCAUAGUGUUUUGAUUCACAGUGUUUCAAACAACCUGGCAUGGCCGUUAAAAAUUAGUAUUAAAUUGUUCAACGAAAAAGACCUAAGUGACUUGUUCAUUGAUAUUUCAAGAAGUUAUUAUGGUGGCUAACAUAUAGUAUU